GCCCGGGUGGCGGAAUGGGCAGACGCAAGGGACUUAAAAUCCCUUGGGGUGCAAACCCCGUGCGGGUUCGACUCCCGCCCCGGGCA
rnacentral:tRNA from 1 species